GUUUACACUGCCUCUAAAUAUGCUUCUUAAUAGCUUAUGCUUAUGGGGUAAUUUGGAAAGAAAGGGAGUUCUGUACUUUCAAUAACAAAGAAACAAAGCAUGGUCCUCCAAUUCUUGAAUUAUUAGAAGCCAUAAAAAUGCCCAAAGAAAUAGCAAUUGUUCACUGCCAAGGAUACCACAAGGCAGGCACCAGUGUUGCACAGGGAAAUAUUAACACUAAUAUUAGAGGUGAAAAAGGCACUCAGAGGCCCACUACCCAGCUGGUUCUCAUUCCUACUCUGUCUGGAGACCUAUCACCACAGAUAUUCACAGGCUGAUCUUAAAAGAGCUGAGGAAGGCCGGGCGCGGUGGCUCAAGCCUGUAAUCCCAGCACUUUGGGAGGCCGAGACGGCCUCCCAAAGGUCAGGAGAUCGAGACCACGGUGAAACCCCGUCUCUACUAAAAAUACAAAAAAUUAGCCGGGCGCGGUUGUGGGCGCCUGUAGUCCCAGCUACUCAGGAGGCUGAGGCAGGAGAAUGGCGUGAACCCGGGAGGCGGAGCUUGCAGUGAGCCGAGAUCGCGCCACUGCACUCCAGCCUGGGCGACAGAGCGAGACUCCGUCUCAAAAAAAAAAAAAAAAAAAAAUGCAUUCUCAGCUGGUCACAGUGGUUCACGCCUGUAAUCCCAACACUUUGGGAGGAUGAGGCGGGCAGAUCAUGAGGUCAGGAGAUCGAGACCAUCCUGGCUAACAUGGUGAAACCCUGUCUCUACUAAAAAUACAAAAAAUUAGCCGGGCAUGGUGGCAGGUGCCUGUAGUCCCAGCUACUUGGGAGGCUGAGGCAGGAGAAUAGCUUCACCCCAAGAAGCGGAGGUUGCAGUAAGUGGAAACAGCAUCACUGCACUCCACCUUGGGUGGCAGGGAGACCCCAUCUCAAAAAAGAAAAAAAAAGAAAAAGAAAAGAAAAGAAAAUGCAUUCUCACACUUUUGUAAAACUCAUAGCUGUUCCUCACCAAGUGAUAUGGUUUAGCUGUGUCCCCACCUAAAUCUCAACUUGAAUUAUAUCUCCCA
rnacentral:lncRNA from 10 species